rnacentral:rRNA from 1 species
AUUGAACGCUGGCGGCAGGCUUAACACAUGCAAGUCGAGCGGAGAUGAGGUGCUUGCACCUUACCUUAGCGGAGGACGGGUGAGUAAUGCUUCGGAAUCUGCAUAUUAGUGGGGGACAACAUUCCGCAAUGAAUGAUAAUAUCGAUUACGCACUACGGGGGAAAGCAGGGGAUCUUCGGACCUGGCCCUAAUAGAUGUGCCUAAGACGUAUUAGCUAGUUGGCGGGGUAAAGGCAUACCAAGGCAACGAUCUGGAGCGGUUGAGAGAGGAUGAGCCGCCACACUGGGACUGAGACUCGGCCCCGACUCCUACGGGAAGGAGCAGUGGGGAAUAUUGGACAAUGGGCGGAAGCCUGAUCCAGCCAUGCCGCGUGUGUGAAGAAGGCCUUUUGGUUGUAAAGCACUUUAAGUGAGGAGGAGGCUACCUGGAUUAAUACUCUAGGAUAGUGGACGUUACUCGCAGAAUAAGCACCGGCUAACUCUGUGCCAGCCGCCGCCGUAAGAC